rnacentral:misc_RNA from 1 species
AUUUGAAUGAGAUUCGGACUGAAAAACCUAAGAAAAACCUUAUUGCCGCAAGAAACACGGCUUGGGCGUGUCCCAGGCCACGAGCCAUGUUUCUGGCUUUGUAGCACACAGCUUGGGCAAAAGGUUACACGGCCUGUGUUUUCGGAAAACAUGGCCCAUGCUUUUGCUCGCCUGGGGUCGUGUCGUGUGACAUGGCCCGUGUAAUUCAACGCCUCAGGCAGUGUAAUUGGUUACACGGGCCGUGUUAAUGAACAUAGGGCGUGUUUUGGCUAAUUUUA